rnacentral:rRNA from 1 species
CCGCAUGGUUCUACAGUGAAAGACGGUCUUGCUGUCACUUAUAGAUGGACCCGCGCCGUAUUAGCUAGUUGGUGGGGUAACGGCCUACCAAGGCGACGAUACGUAGCCGACCUGAGAGGGUGAUCGGCCACACUGGAACUGAGACACGGUCCAGACUCCUACGGGAGGCAGCAGUAGGGAAUCUUCCGCAAUGGGCGAAAGCCUGACGGAGCAACGCCGCGUGAGUGAUGAAGGUCUUCGGAUCGUAAAGCUCUGUUGUUAGGGAAGAACAAAUGUGUAAGUAACUGUGCACAUCUUGACGGUACCUAACCAGAAAGCCACGGCUAACUACGUGCCAGCAGCCGCGGUAAUACGUAGGUGGCAAGCGUUAUCCGGAAUUAUUGGGCGUAAAGCGCGCGUAGGCGGUUUUUUAAGUCUGAUGUGAAAGCCCACGGCUCAACCGUGGAGGGUCAUUGGAAACUGGAAAACUUGAGUGCAGAAGAGGAAAGUGGAAUU